rnacentral:misc_RNA from 1 species
GAUGAAGAACGCAGUGAAAUGCGAUAAGUAAUGUGAAUUGCAGAAUUCAGUGAAUCAUCGAAUCUUUGAACGCACAUUGCGCCCCUUGGUAUUCCGAGGGGCAUGCCUGUUCGAGCGUCAUAUUAACCACUCCCGCUUGCGGGGUCUUGGGCUUCGCCUCCGGGCGGGCCUUAAAAUCAGUGGCGGUGCCGUCGGGCUCUACGCGUAGUAAAUUUUCUCGCGGUAGGGUCCCGGUGGAUGCUUGCCAACAACCCCCAACUUCUUAAGGUUGACCUCGGAUCAGGUAGGGAUACCCGCUGAACUUAAGCAUAUCAAUAAGCGGAGGA